UCAACACUUUUAUCCAAAGCGACUUACGAUAAGUGCAUUCAACUAUAAGGUUACGAACACAGAACAGCGUGAAUCAUGUGUGUAAAUGUACUAAACACCACAAAAAAUAAACCUGGCCUCAGUCAAAUACUUAUCCCAUAUGAAUUAACCGCUGCUCACGUCACCCGCUCGCGUCAUCAGCUGAUGGACUCGUCCAAUCAGAGCCUCGUAAACGCCGUGCAGCAGCGUCGAGUGUCCCGCAGACAGGAAGCGGGUCGUGUUUAGCUUGUCCCGUACGAGUGACUCUGUCUUCGGGGUAAAUAACUUGCUGAAGUCGACACGACACUGUUCCCUGGAGGAGAAGAUGAGUGCGUGUGGAGGCAGAGCCGCGGGCCCGGUGUGGACGAGUCGAGGCGGAGAAGACGGGCGCACAGUCCCUGAGUUACGCCUCAGCCCCCCCACACACACACACACACACACGCAAACAAAGAGGCGUUAGGCUGAGACGCUGAAAGUCCGGAUUUAAAGUGCAGAAAAUUAAGCCAUUGAAUCUGCCUGUCCAUGACGUACAAAGACACACUAUGAGCCAGUAUGAUCCGACCAGACCUUACAUCAGCAUUGAGGAGUUGUCGGAGAAGAAAGAGGCUGAUUGAAGCGGGACAGAUGACAUGGAUCCAUCCUUCCACAGCCAGGAGCGCACCGACCUGUGUCCCACACUUCAUAUAAGACUGGAAGCUACACUGAUCUCACAGCUACACACCACAGACGUCUACACACUGGAGAAGAGUCCCACAAAGAAGUCAUGACCCAGAGGCUGCAGAGAAACAUUUCAAGCCUCAUCUGAGUUUUUGUACAAUAUUUUUGCUGUAUGUAAAUAAAGCUUUCACUCCACA